AUAAUGUAGGUGAAAGAGUCUCUGUGAACGUGAGGUAAUAGCACUCAAAUAUGUUUGACUGUCUGGGGAGCGGCGGAACGCCAGCCAGACUGUGACCAACUGACACACUGACUCACACACACACACAGGGAGCAUUGGAGAGACUGUGCCAAUGCCUGGAUUAGGCAGCCAUGUAAACAAGCAAAUAGAUAUGGAGACAAGCAGACAGACAGACACAGGCAGAGAGACAGAUGGAUGGACAGACACAGAGACAAAAUGCUAUUAAUUGCAUCCGAUUAGCAUGGCGGGCACAGCUCCCUGUCUGCAGCGGGCACUAUAUUUGAUCGUGGGACAUAACAAAAAUAUUUUUCGCUGUCGUUUUGUUGAUCCGAGGGAGUUUGCACCUUAAAAAAGAAAGAAUCAAGACAGACCGCUGCCCGUGGCUUUUUCCAGAACAGGACAGUGAGCUGUGCUCCCGUUCGUUCGCUCUCUUUCUCUCUCUUGCUUGUAACUUUCUGUCUCUGCCAUUUUGAUGAGGUUGAAAAAAAGUCUAUCUCUUUUUCUCUCUCACUACGUGGCGUGGAUUGGACGCUGACUGGAAGGAAGGAGGGAGGAGUAGGAGCAAGAGAGAGCGCGCUGCUCGUGUAGACGGAGAGAUGGCAUAUUUGCAGAAAGAGUAAUGUGGUGUGAAAGCAGUCCUUUUCAGUCUUCACUCUUUAGACUGUUCUCUCGUCCGUAAAGCUGCUUUUUAUUUUCUGCACUACGCUCUACCCCUCUUUCUGCAUCUGCUUCUCUCUAUUAUAAACUUUUUUCUUAACGUUUUUAUAGCUUUAUUUCAUUGCUCUGUCAGUUUGUUUCUGUUUCAAUUCGUUCCUUGCUUGUUUUUAAUCGCCCCUCAGUUGUUGGGAGUUCAUGGGAGUUAAAGACAAAGGGAAACGUCCACAUUUUGGCACCACUAAGGGGAGUCAGAACUGCAGCCAAGGACCCUGCUGAGAUCCAAAAAACCCCAGUACAGCGAAGCGCCAAAAAAAAAAAAAAGAAAAGAAAAAAAGAAAACACCACCCUUUCCUUUGCAUGGUCACAAAUUCCACUCUCCCUGUAGCCAGGGCAGUGCCGCAGCUCCUCCUCGACCACAUCUCACCGCAUUCGACCUUUCCGCCUUCUCUUCUCAGUCUUCUACGGAACCUUUUCUGACCCAUUUUUGAGGAUUUUCAUUUUUUUCCACGAUUUUUUGCGGGCAACAGAAUUGGCCUAGUCUGCACCCUAAGCCUGACUCCAUAUUGCCGCCAGGUGUAGGCUGACUCUGGUAUGGACAUCGAACUGGUCAGCACCAUAGACAGACUUCCUCCACCGUUCCCUCCCUCCUGCUCCAAUCUUCAGUUCAGCUAGAGAAAGAGAGGGAGUGAGAGAGGGAAAGAAAGAAAAAGAAAGAGAGUGAGUGGAAUAAUGGUGAGCGACGAGGGAAAUUUCAGCGCUCAGAAACUUUUUCUUCCUCCAAAACAGAGAAAACAUCACAGUCUCACAGGCGUUCGGAGGACCGCAGCACCCGAGGCACAGUCAGUCGCUGCCACCAGCUCGCUUCGGCGAGGGCAUGCAGGCACCCUUCCUCCCCUCUGCAGUGCUGGAUGAAGACUAUUGUUCUGGUGCCCUCAUCUUCCUCUGGCACCACACCUCACCCACCAUGCCAGCCCACCUCGUCAAACAAGUGAAUUUCAUGUGACAAAGUGGUGAUAUCUAAGUGGAUCACAUGUUCAGAGGCAGCAGUGUAUAGUGCCCAUGGCCUUAGCACCUAUAGUGGGGCGAUAAGUGGUGGACACAGAUUAAUCAUCAACACACAAGCAAACACGCACACACACACACACACACACACACACACACACUCUCUCUCUCCCUCUCUCCGUGCAGCUGUUGAAGCUGGUGGUGUCACCAUAGCGACAGCAGUGUGCUACUGAAGAUCCCAGCCAACAGCUGCUCUCGGUAGAAACAGUAUUGAUUGAGCCUGCUCCACUCCCACUUCAAAAUGUGUAUGUCUUUUAGCUGUCAGCAUCUGCGAAUGACACCAUAUCUAAAGAUAUGGGUUGCAAAUAUAUUUUUGUACAAUAAUUGUGAGUCUUUGAAGUGUUUAUAUUAUAGCAUUAUGAAUCUAAUGGAGGAUGCAUUCUGUGUGUAUCUGAACAUGUGCAACAGAUGGUUCGGACGGCUCAUCGUAUUCCCUCUAAAUCAUGUCAAAUAGGUCCCCGAUACUUGUCUUAUUGUCCGUCCCCUUUCCUCUCUUUGGACGUCCCAGAGGACUGGUGUGCUCUAAGACUUCCUGCGGCCCUUUAGAGGACCUCUCGCUCCCCUCCCCCUCAGCGGUUCAAUGUAUCAUCAAAGAGAGGAUUAGUGUGGGCCAGCCCAGGAGACGGACUUGAGCACCUGACAAAUUUAAGCUUAUUAACUACAGAAAAAAAGGGGAAAACCUGCCCAGGAAGCACUGAGGGAUGGAGGGCGAACUCUGGGGAUUGCUGAUCUGUCAGCAUAUGGCUUGAUGUUAGGUGCUAGUAAUGCUGAUAUCUUUACAUUGAGAGAGUGUUGCUGCAUCUGAAAUCGCAUACUGUAUAGUAGGUACUACAUUUGGUUUGAAACGUACUUUGCGACCGUUAAAAAGUAUGUUCUACUAUAUAGAAUGAAUGUGUGUAGUAUGAAUGAAAUUCGGACAUACUACAUCCACCAUGUUGUCAUUGUCAUGUGACCUACGGCAUCAGUCGCGCCGCUUCACCUCCAUUCACAAAUCCUCUCUCGUGGCCUCAUGGGAUAAUAAAGUGUCCAUCGAAUGUGCACUUUAGAAUCUUGCUGGAAGUAGUAGAUCAUCCAAGUACACCUACUGUUUUAUGAAUACUAUGAAUUCGUACAUACUACUCUGCUCACAUACUGUUUUUCGCCUACUUUAUAGUAUGGAAGUAGGCGUGUGUCUGUGCUCUUGCUCGAUGAGGUGCACCUGUUGAAUGAAGUUGGAAUAUCUCGGUUUUUGUCUAAAGAUGGGAACUGUAACAAUUGUAAUGAUUCUUGUUCUGGUUCUGAUUCCUCUUAAUGAUUUCGGUUCUAUUAAUGAUUCUUUUGAAUAUUUGGAGAACAGAAAUGCAAUUCUGUGGCCAAAUGUUGUGAUCAUUUCAAUAAUAAAUGUAAAACAACAAAUAAUAAAAAGUGCAGUCACAUACUUUUCCCUUUUUUUUUUUUUUUUUUUUUUUAAUACCAUUGACAAAACUCGUAAUGUUUCUUUAAUUACACAUUGUCAUAUGUGCAUUCAUUUAGAAGCAGUUUUCAGUGUUUGUGAUUUACUAAAAGAACCAUCUCAUAAGAGUGUUUCCCUCAAGAAUCAGGGGCCGUUUACACGACACCGUUUUCAACUAAAAAUGGAAAACUUUUUAUGCGUUUUGGCCGUUCAUUUACACGACAACGGCGUUUUGGUGGCCUGAAAAUGCAAACUUUUGAAAACGGGUUUCAAAGUGCACUUUUUUGAAAACGGUCUCUGUGUAAACAACAAAAACAUGAAUCUGUGAAAACGAUGAUGUCAUGCACAUGCGCAUUACAUGUUCAGUCUAUAGUGUUUCAUCGCUAUCUAAUGACCUGCCAGCAGAAUAUAGCGUUUUUAGUCAUUUUCACGGAUUCGUAUGAAUGGGGAUCAUUUUGACAAUGGUGUCAUCUGUACGCGGAAAACUCAAACGAAACACUUCUCCGUUUUAACCAUAUCGUUGUCGUGUAAACGUAUCCUCAGACUUCACUGGUCAGACUGUAUGUUUCUGAUUCACUAAGAAGAAUCGGAUCAUAUGAAUCAUUUACUUGAGGAUCAGACUUUGUUUGUUGCACUGUAUGUUUCGUUCUAAAUAGUGACACGGGGGACACUUCCAGGGGUUUUGGGCAUUGGUGGAAGAAUUUAUGUGCAAGAAAUGUUAUAUCAGAAUCAAAUGUCAUGAAAAUCACUUGGUUAUGUGGUUAUUGGUUCACAAUCCUACACCUCUAUCCUUCCUUAUCACAUUUUAGCUUAUCAAGCCCAAACCUGAUGUCACACCAUAGGACUCUCACAAACUCCUCUGUUUGUGCUUUGUACUCUGUGGAUAUGCAUUUUUCAGAGAAUUAGACAUGUCUGUGCAAAACAUGGAUGAAUCUUUUCUUCCCUUCCUCUAAAGGAAGUAUUUUUUUUGUCAAACCCAUUAUAUAAGUUUCCCAUCAGACUCAUGUGGUUAACUUGUGGUUUGUCUUGUCAUCCAUCUUCCAUCUUCAGUCUUAUUUUAUAAGGUUCCCUUGGAAGGAGUAUUAAUAGCACUAAAAAAAGUUACUCAAAACUCAAAAGUUUAGUGAAUAUUGCUACUUAACAUUUUUAGAUCUCGGAGCAAAUUACUGUAGCUCAAACAAUAGAGCAUGGCACUACGAUGCUAAGGUCAUGGGUUUGAUUCCCAGAGAAUGCAUGAACUGAUAAUGUGUCAAUUGCAUAAAUGUAAAAUGUAAGCUUUCUAAAACAUUGCCACCUUUCUUCUCAAAGUAUGUGUUCUUAAUGCUAUUUCAUGUUUUUGUCUUUGUGCAUCAUUUAGAUUUGUUACCUCAUGAAGUGAAAGUAUGUGGAUGGACACAUUUACUGCCCAAAAAAAUCCAUGUAAAUGUUAAUGAACUCCUGUGACUCCAUUCCCUUAUACAAAACUCUCGCCACACCCUUCUUAUAGUCACUUUCUUUCAGUAUCUCUGUUGAGAAUGAGUGUAUAGGGGAAUGGAUGGUCCUGAGUUUUGCCAGCCCUCAUAAUUCAAUGUUAAGCUUAUCAUGGCUGAGUGGCUUUUUAUCCUGGACUUGUUCGCAGUUGGCGCUGUUUCUAAUCCUCUCCACACGUAGGUCUGUGUCCCUUCAAUGUGCGUUUCUUUCUGAGGAAAUUUCCAUAGCAAUACUACAAUAGUGCCGGUGUGUGUGUGUUUUUUUUUCAACUGUCAGAAUGAACAACAGAGAAGUAUCACGGUGGAGAACAGUAUUUGAUAGUAAAACACUGAUAAUCAAAGCCGCUCUGUUCAUCUUAAUGAUAAUUUGAAUAUGUUAAAUAUAUGAUAUAACGAUUAUGAGCUGUUGGAAGCUUUCAAAUAGGAGGCAAUAUGGCAGUGUGGAAGGGCUUGUAUAUGCAGUGUGGAGGAUGUUCAUAUAUGAGGUAAAGCUGAUAGUCACUUGCCAUUGCUUGGAACAAUAAUAUCACUGUUUACUGAAUCAUGUCCUGUUUAAUUUGAAUGGCAUGACAGAGUGAAUGAAUCACAAUGAGAGAGAUUAUGAGUGCGAUAGGCAAGAGUCUCUAUAGUGAUAUCGCAUUGCCACUUGAAAAAAAAAAAUGGACCAUGACAUGGAUUUUUUUAUUAUUUUAAAAUGUUCCUUGAGGUUCACUUGUAAUGUCAAAAUAAAAAAUGCACAAAAAACAAAUAUAUAUGUGAAAAAAAUUAUUAUUUUCAACCCUCAUUCUGACCCUCUUUCUGAAAUGUAGGGAUGGGCGGUAUGGACUUAAAACUAUAUCUCAAUAUUUUCUGGUAUUUAUUGCGAUAACGAUAUCAGUGAUGAUAUACAGUAAAUAUAGUACCAUUCACCACUGUUUUUGGCUACAAGUGAUAGCUGCAUGCAGUCAUGAAAGCCUCAGAAACGCAAACAUUGAUCUAAAGUAAAACGUAACCAUCAUCAAAUAGGCUUCUAUAAUACAAAUUUCAUUUAAAAAAAACUGUAAAAACUGUAAAAAAACAAACAAAAAAAAAACAGUAAAAACACUAGCCCUUGCAGAAAUGUAAAAGUUGCAGAUAUAUUUUUCUUCUGUAAAUGUGCAGAUGUUUAAAUAGUGCAACUGUGCUGAAUAACACACAAUAAUAAUUACACACAAUAAUAAUUCAAAUCAAUUACAAGUUUGAAAUGUAAACACAGAUUCUGUAUUUAUUCAUACUCUCAAGUAACAACCCCAACCAUGUCUUCAGAUAAGUUACAAAAUUACAAGACAGAAUAAUCAAGCGUUAUUUAAUGAUAUAACUUAAGUAGGCUAAUUAGAAUUAAAACUCGCUAACCAUGUAUGAAUGAAAACGUAUGAAUGGAUAUUUGUCAUUUUAACUGAACUUAGGACUGGUGGUGAUGUUUAAGACAUUGUUGGUCAUUCAGUGUUUCUGUAAAAAACAAAAAACAAAAAUACUGAUAAGUUAAAUAUACUACUACGAUUUCUACUGCCAAUAACAAUAUAAACCUCACUAAGGAUUGAUGCGCUACUGGGUUCAUGAAUAUAAAUCACCUUGUCUGCGUUCGCUCAAUCUGAUUUGCUGAAAUCAAAACAGGGACAGUAAUAGGUGAGCGCCAGCCAAUGAGAUUGCAGUUUGUGCAUUAGUUCCGCCCACUACCGAACAAACCAGCAGUAGCUUCUGCUUGUUCUUUAAGGAAAAUACAACAAAACAUACUUUUUAUAGGAAAAUACAUCAAAGAAUAUUGUUUUCAAUGUAUCACGUCAAUUUUGACUCUCUCACUAAUGUUGUAGUAACCGGUCUUGGUCUUGAGACUGGUCUUAAAGAAUAUUGUUUACUAGUGAUUAAAGACUACGUAUUUUAGCCUAGGAUUAUAGGAAUCUUUUAGGAUUCUUAAAAUUUGUCUCAGACGACCAAAUCGUGGCCAAAAUCACAGUACCCAUCUUCAGAGAACUCAGGGAUUACGUUUCAAGACCAGUCAAGACCAUAACUGCUGGGAUAUUACUAAAUUGCUGGUGCAUUGUCUGAUUUUUUUUUUCAUUAAUGUGCUUGGAUAUAAAACUUACUGCUUCAGAUGCAAUCAAUAACUUGUUUCUAAUUUGAUUUAUUUAUUAUUUACGGUUCAGAAAUUAAUGAGGGAUUGUGUCAAAAAUGUCACCAAAAUUAAUACAAAUGCUCACAAAAUUCAAGAUAUUGUUGCAAAAAAGUUCUUGUAUGAGAUCUCAAUUUUUAUAUUAUAACAAGAUAUCAAUAUUAAAUAUCAAUAUCACAAGAGCAGGAGAGCUCUUUUUAAACCAUUAUUCUCAACAUUAUUUAUACAUUUGUAAUUUACUAAUUCAGAUGCAACUUCUGUACCACCUCUGCAGUGCAAAGAUGAAUUUUGUUGUCAGUGAUUUCAUUUGAUUGGUAACAGCUCUAUAUAGUGUCUUAUUCUAAUUAUAUUUAUUGAUUAAAAAUAAGUCAUUUCUCAGGCAGUAAUGUGGAUCUUGAAUUUAAGGAGCGCUGGUCUGGUCUUGACUCGGUCUUGCCCUGCCUUGGUCUCGGUCUUGUCUUGGUCUCAACCCCUCAAAGUCUUAGUCUUAUCUUGGUCUCAACACACAUUGGUCUUGGUCUCGACUUGGUCUUGGAUUAGGUGGUCUUGACUACAACACAAGUCUCUCGCUCUCUCUUUGAGUGAGUGAGAAACACUGAGCGCUCUCAGCAAAGCGACGGCGAGUCGGGCACCUCACGCUAGUGUUUACUGUGUGUCAAAUACACUGUGCAGAGAUGAACUGAAAUAGUGUGCUUGACAGAAAGCGAAACUCUCAAGCACUCAGUGUUCAGCAAGUGAAAAUAUAUCUGUGUGUACCAGUUCCAGAUUGUAGAGGUUUAGCGAUCAACUCCUUCUCAGCUUCACGUCCGCUUUCCGCCAUAGU